rnacentral:rRNA from 1 species
AGAGUUUGCUUCUGGCUCAGAACGAACGCUGGCGGCGUGGAUAAGACAUGCAAGUCGAACGAGAGAAUUGCUAGCUUGCUAAUAAUUCUCUAGUGGCGCACGGGUGAGUAACACGUGAGUAACCUGCCCCCGAGAGCGGGAUAGCCCUGGGAAACUGGGAUUAAUACCGCAUAGUAUCGAAAGAUUAAAGCAGCAAUGCGCUUGGGGAUGGGCUCGCGGCCUAUUAGUUAGUUGGUGAGGUAACGGCUCACCAAGGCGAUGACGGGUAGCCGGUCUGAGAGGAUGUCCGGCCACACUGGAACUGAGACACGGUCCAGACACCUACGGGUGGCAGCAGUCGAGAAUCAUUCACAAUGGGGGAAACCCUGAUGGUGUGACGCCGCGUGGGGGAAUGAAGGUCCUCGGAUUGUAAACCCCUGUCAUGUGGGAGCAAAUUAAAAAGAUAGUACCACAAGAGGAAGAGACGGCUAACUCUGUGCCAGCAGCCGCGGUAAUACAGAGGUCUCAAGCGUUGUUCGGAAUCACUGGGCGUAAAGCGUGCGUAGGCUGUUUCGUAAGUCGUGUGUGAAAGGCGCGGGCUCAACCCGCGGACGGCACAUGAUACUGCGAGACUAGAGUAAUGGAGGGGGAACCGGAAUUCUCGGUGUAGCAGUGAAAUGCGUAGAUAUCGAGAGGAACACUCGUGGCGAAGGCGGGUUCCUGGACAUUAACUGACGCUGAGGCACGAAGGCCAGGGGAGCGAAAGGGAUUAGAUACCCCUGUAGUCCUGGCAGUAAACGGGUGCACGCUUGGUGUGUGGGGGAAAUCGACCCCCCUGCGUGCCGGAGCUAACGCGUUAAGCGUUGCCGCCUGGGGAGUACGGUCGCAAGAUUAAAACUCAAAGAAAUUGACGGGGACCCGCACAAGCGGUGGAGUAUGUGGCUUAAUUCGAUGCAACGCGAAGAACCUUACCUGGGCUUGACAUGUAAUGAACAACAUGUGAAGGCAUGCGACUCUUUGGAGGCGUUACACAGGUGCUGCAUGGCCGUCGUCAGCUCGUGUCGUGAGAUGUUUGGUUAAGUCCAGCAACGAGCGCAACCCCUGUUGCCAGUUACCAGCACGUGAAGGUGGGGACUCUGGCGAGACUGCCCAGAUCAACUGGGAGGAAGGUGGGGACGACGUCAGGUCAGUAUGGCCCUUAUGCCCAGGGCUGCACACGUACUACAAUGCCCAGUACAGAGGGGGCCGAAGCCGCGAGGCGGAGGAAAUCCUGAAAACUGGGCCCAGUUCGGACUGUAGGCUGCAACCCGCCUACACGAAGCCGGAAUCGCUAGUAAUGGCGCAUCAGCUACGGCGCCGUGAAUACGUUCCCGGGUCUUGCACUCACCGCCCGUCA